rnacentral:tRNA from 1 species
UCCUGGUUAGCUCAGUUGGUAGAGCGCUCCACUGGAAAUGGGGAGGUCCCUGGUUCGAUACCAGGACCAGGCA